AAUUCACUGAUAACUCGUUGUUCAUGGAGCAUUACGUUUGGAGCUUCCUUCAAGAUUCUGAAUUUGGAUCUAGUUAGGAUCUUUUGAGCUGAACGCUAUGCAUGACAUGGCUUUUGAGAUAGGACAGCUAUUGAUUACUACUCAAUCAAAGAAGCAAACCAUGGUGCUUAACGUCGUUAAAAAGGGACUGCAAGUUGCAGGCAUAACUAGUAGUGAUGUUGGAGGCAUAACUGGUAUUGGUGAUGGUGAAUCAAGAUCUAACUGUAGCAUUAUGUGAAAGAAACCAAUGAUGCAUUUUAUCACCAGUCAAAUGCAUCCAAUCGUACAAUAAAUAUCUCCGAUGAGCUAAGAGGAAAUGACUGAAAAUUUACUGGAAACUCUUCAAGUGGGCUCUGAUCCAGUAGAGAAUAAACUCAAGUUGCUUUGUAUUGCUGUGUGUCUUUUCUGUGGCAAUAAUUGUAUUCUCAUGCAUUCGAUCUCCAUAGUCUCAUGUGUACUUUUGGAGGGCAUUGAGAACUUGUUUAAUCUUAAGCUGCUUUUGUGUAAAAUCAUGUAGUUAAUGAAGCUUUUCUAGUAAAAUCAUUGAGCACCA